ACGGGGCCCGCACAAGCGGUGGAGUAUGUGGUUUAAUUCGACGCAACGCGCAGAACCUUACCUAGACUUGACAUCCCGGGGAUUUUCUGGAAACAGAGAAGUGCUUUAGCAAUAAAGAACCCGGUGACAGGUGCUGCAUGGCUGUCGUCAGCUCGUGUCGUGAGAUGUUGGGUUAAGUCCCGCAACGAGCGCAACCCUCGCCUUUAGUUGCCAGCAUUCAGUUGGGCACUCUAGAGGGACUGCCGGUGUCAAACCGGAGGAAGGUGGGAUGACGUCAAGUCCUCAUGGCCUUUAUGUCUAGGGCUACACACGUACUACAAUGGCCGGUACAAAGGGCAGCCACUCAGCGAUGAGGCGCUAAUCCCAUAAAGCCGGUCUCAGUCCGGAUCGCAGUCUGCAACUCGACUGCGUGAAGUUGGAAUCGCUAGUAAUCGUAGAUCAGCAUGCUACGGUGAAUACGUUCCCGGGCCUU
rnacentral:rRNA from 1 species